rnacentral:rRNA from 1 species
CAGUCGCCGCGGGAAUACGAAGGGGGCUAGCGUUGUUCGGAAUUACUGGGCGUAAAGCGCACGUAGGCGGAUAUUUAAGUCAGGGGUGAAAUCCCGCAGCUCAACUGCGGAACUGCCUUUGAUACUGGGUAUCUUGAGUAUGGAAGAGGUUAGUGGAAUUGCGAGUGUAGAGGUGAAAUUCGUAGAUAUUCGCAGGAACACCAGUGGCGAAGGCGGCUUACUGGUCCACAACUGACGCUGAGGUGCGAAAGCGUGGGGAGCAAACAGGAUUAGAGACCCCAGUAGUCCCUGUCUCUUAUAC